UCCCCAAUAGCUCAGUGGUAGAGCGUUCGGCUGUUAACCGAUUCGUCGUAGGUUCAAAUCCUACUUGGGGAG
rnacentral:tRNA from 1 species